UCUAAUUCAUUGUAUUUGCAUGUUUCUAGCAGCCAUGUAUAAAAAAAGCUUCAGCUUUGGGUUGUUGAUUUAGCAGCAUCAAUCAUUAAUUGUUCUGCUAUAUAUGUUCUUAACCAUGACAACCUGAUUAGGCUCUUAGUUUAUUAUGGUCUUUGUUCUGGGUGGAUCUCUGACUAUUCUGGGUUGCUCCGAUGAGGACAAGCUGCUUCUGCAGGUGGACGGGCCCUCAAGGCUGCUCUGCCUAUUCCUCCUGCUACCCCCACACGUGCGAACACAAAGUCGUCGAUGCAUUGAGGGCUCAAUGUCGUCUCCGCCGGCUGAGCGGCAAGCCGGGGUUGGGCCUGCACCCCGUCUAUCAGCACCCUCCUGCGUCUCCAUUCACGGAUCUGCAUGUCAACCCCUCUUCUCCUCCUAUCCACGCAUCUUCUUUUCCAGAGCUAGGUGUAUGGUUGCAUGGCAAUUUGUGUUUUGGGGCUCACCAUGUUCUGCUUGCCCUGGUUGGCCAAUGAGGCUUUCCUUUUCUGGUAAAGGCCAAAUAUACUAUUCUCUAUGCUGUAUAUUUUUGUAGUUCCUUUGUUUCCAUGCUUGUUUUUUGAUGGGGUGUAAAUAUAUGCUUUUUUGUUCCUUGUCUGGAUUCAGGUAGGGCCUAACAUUAUUGUUCCUUUGUGCAUGGAAAUGUUGGUGGUUUUGUUCCUUUGUGUAUGGAAGGGGGCCUUGGUUAGAAUUUCUAACGUUUGAGUUGUAAUUAGUGUUUUUGUUACACAUGAAAACAUAUGGUUGUUUGUACAAUCACAUAUGAAAAAGAGAGGAUUGUUUGUCCAACAAUUUUCUUUCUCUGUGAUAGUUUUACUAGAAAUAAAGCAUAGUCACUAUUACAUCCUAUUUUAUAUCUUGUUGUGUCGUGAUAUCUGUAUAGACUCUGUCUACGUCCUUUUGACAUUCCAAGUUUUGUUUUUCUAUGGCUCAAUUAGUUACCCCGUAUCAAGAGAAAUUUAACUGGUAUUUGCGGUAGAGUUAGCUGAAUUCAUGAAGCAACGAUUUAGUUAUUAUUAAAGCUGAAACACAACAUGUUUUGACAAAUGCGUUCUAAGUAAAGCCUCCAACUAACAUAAGCAAAAACAUAUUCUUUAGGUUUAUCAUCUAUUGAAGUAUUAUGUAGAAUUUAAAAUCUUACGAGGCAAAGCAAAUGAGCUCUAUGCACUUUCCAUGUAGCACAGAACAAAAAUAAUCAUGUAUAUUUUGGAUGCACCUAGAUAUACUCAUCAGCAAAGCUGAGGUUAUAGGGCACUCACCCACAUUGUCGAUAUCUCCGUCACUAUGAUCACCCACAUGAUGGACAAUUCCCUUCUUUCUUUUCUAUGUGGCUAUUGACACAUAAUGCUAUUACUGUGUGCAUAUAUGUACUGUGAUCCAUUCUCAUUCUUCAUAUCUUGAGAAACUAUCUCAAGAUACUCGCGUUUGUGUUUUGGAGAAAGCCUAUUCUAUGAUUAAUAUAUCGAGUAUGGAUGCCGCGAUAUCAACUCUCUUUAUGAUGAUGUUCUUACAGAAUAUAGGUUUUAUGGUAACAAGUCUUAGCCAACACCUAUACUGAUGCUCAGACCAGAUGAUUAUAGUCUCUCCUUGCUAUUUUUCUUGAGGUGUGUACAUCUAUCUAGACAAUUUUAAUUAAAAUAUAUAUUCCAUACAAACCAUCAAUACAUGUUAGUUGACUUUGAAACUAAUCAGUAAAAAGGUUGUCCCUUUCGCAUUUUAUAGACAUAAAGAUUUGGUGUUGACUGUCGAUCUUUAGUUAACACAUGACCUUACAACCGUAGGGAGUGGGAAAAAACUUGUAUGUUUGGCACAUUUGAAGAACAUAUCAUAGUAACAAAGUUUUGGUAAACAAUGUCCUAGAUCUCAACCAUAUAGAAAUACUAAAUAUAUGUUUAUUUGUAUAUGGAUUAAUUAUACAGACUUAUAAAACCAUGUGCAGCGCACAUAAAAGAAAUUUGAAAUAACUAUUAUUUCAAUAUUUGCUUUUUCAGUUGAGCAUAAUAGUUUAUAGCCUGAUAGGCUUGGACAUAAUUGUCUACAUGUACUGCUCAGUAGGCGACAUCCUUUGGGAAAUUGAGGAUGUCCUCGUGCAUUUUCUAAAUACAAUUGUGGCAGAUCUGAGGAAGGAGGGGAGGAAUAAUCUCGCGGGAGAGUUCGGUGUAGAGGAAGAAGAACAAGAUAUUAUUUAUUUCUUGUGAACAGUCAAGCUUGUGCAUUGUCCCACUUUCUGGGGCCAGGCAACCUUGAAUCCAACGUCCACCUGCAGGCUACAUCUCAGGUAGGAUAAAAAGAUUGCAGUGAACUUGAUGGGUAUAUCAUUAUUGUUGCCUCCUAAUUUGUGUGAUGAGCAAAUGUGUAGAUUGUGUGUAAAUCCGAGAUGCCUAAAACGGUUGGGAAGUGAACUUGUUACCUCGGUUCAGUUUAAUGGCAUGUUAAACUCGAUGCACUUUCUGGACUGUGACAUUUUUCCUGAAAUUUUGGAAGUGACUGCAAAUGUAGUCUAAAUAGAGUGACUGAGUAGUUACUUUCUCACAAGAGUUGAGUUCCCGUUAUUACUUGCUAAGAUGGAUUGGUGGUUUUUAUGUUAGAUGAAAAAUAUUACAUCAAUCUUUACGGCUUUUUAUGGGCAAGUGAUUCCGAGUCCAUAAUAAGGAAUAAUAUAGCCCCAGUGCUGUGAUAAUGUUAAAACAUUUACCUCUUUUAUCGGUUCAAGUUAUGUAUUUGCUGCGAAAAAAUGGUCUUAUAUCAAAUAAUAGCCUAGAGCUUUUGGAGUGUUAUUACUUGUAUUUGUUGCUUGGAUGUAUAAACCUUCAGCAGACUGUCAGUUUUGCUUUUAUAUAAUCUGUUUGUUUAAGUCUGCUGCAUAUUGGUCAAAAGCUCAUGCUAAUUGAUGAUGUUAGGUGAUGAUCUUGUAUCUAACAGUGAUUUCUGAAUGCAUGCUAAAGAAAACUCAUGAACAUCAUGGCGCCUUGUUGAUGGGGUGAUCAAUAGCUACUAUAUUGGGACCCUGCACUUAAAUUGUAGGUCUGAUUUUGUUUUGGAGUUCUCCUGCUACCCACAAGCUCAGAUAGUUCUUUUGUUUGUGCAGGGGAAAUUGCAAAGCAUAUUAUGAAUUGUUACAAGAAACUAUUUCCGCUGUUUUGGUGCAAGGAUGUUGCUUUUUAGUAUGCUUCCCGUAUCUUGGUAUCUUGGAAUAAUAAACAGAUAGAUGUCGUGUACCAAGAUUGUUCCUUGUUGUUAAGAGGGAUACCAAUAUUAUACAAGAAUUUUUCUGA